rnacentral:lncRNA from 1 species
UUGACUGACGGUUGACUUGUCCAAUCUUCUGCAGAUCCGCGGCUGGGCACUACAGUUGCAGGUUCCCUAGAAUUGGGUGGCAUUAAUGUGCUUUUUAGGACUGAACACUCAACCCUCCCUCAUCAUCAGCACCUUGAGCUGGGUCUCUGUUCUCACUGCUACUCACUGUAGCUUGAAGCCUCUCUGAGUAAGGCGGAGAAGAGCCUUUGUCAGGUCCCUUGCAAGGCCAGAGUACCUAAGCCUCAACACGCUCAAGGUCUUUGUUGGGGACCUUGGUGACUUAGCCAAGGUUGUGUGAAUAUGGAGGAGAUAAAGCUAGGUUCCAAACCAACGCGACCGCAGAGAAUGUGGAGUCCCUGCCAGUCCUUUGCUGACCUCCAGUACUGUUAGGAAAAAAAAGAAGAAAGAAAGAAAGAAAGAAAGAAAGAAAGAAAGAAAGGAAGAAAGGAAGGAAGGAAGGAAGGAAGGAAGGAAGGAAGGAAGGAAGGAAGGAAGGAAGAGCUGAACAGAGAAGAUGUCAACAUUUCACUUCCAUAACCAGCUUUUAUAGGAUGCUGGGGAGGAACAGUGCA